rnacentral:misc_RNA from 1 species
CGCACCUUGCGCUCUUGGGUCAUUCCUAAGAGCAUGCUUGUUUGAGUGUCGCGUACCUUCUCAAUCCCGCCUUUUUUUAGUUAAGAGGCAGCAGGAUUGGAUCAUGACGCCCUUGUCCUUCUUUAGUGGAGUACUGCGUUGAAAUACAACAAGUCCCAUUAGUUCUGCGGCUUGACCCGUUGUCAUAAUGACUUUCAAUGGGGACGUGGGAUUAGAGGUGGGCUUACCAAAUGCUGGCGUCCUUUUACUAGGGCCCGUCUUUUGACUUUGACCUCAAAUCAAGUAGGACUACCCGCUGAACUUAA